UUCAAACUCCUGGCCUCAAGUGAUCUGCCUACCCCAAGUGCUGGGAUUUCAGGCAUGAACCACUGUGCCCGGCUGACAAUUAGAAUUAAAAAAAUUUAACACUUCUCUUUUUCUGGCUGGAACCAUGGGGGGUACAGAAGAGAAGAAGGUUCCUGCUGUGCCGGAAACCCUUAAGAAAAAGCAAAGGAAUUUCUCAGAGCUGAAGAUCAAGCACCUGAGAAAGAAGUUUGCCCAAAAGAUGCUUUGAAAGUCAAGGAGGAAGCUUAUCUAUGAAAAAGCGAAGCACUAUCACCAGGAAUAUAGGCAGAUGUACAGAACUGAAAUUCGAAUGACAAGGAUAGCAAGGAAAGCGGGCAACUUCUAUCUACCUGCAGAACCCAAAUUGGCAUUUUUCAUCAGGAUCAGAAGUACCAAUGGUGUGAGCCCAAAAAUCCAAAAGGUGUUGCAGCUUCUUCACCUUUGUCAAAUCUUCAGUGGAACCUUUGUGAAGCUCAACAAGGCCUCAACUAACACGCUGAGGAUUGUAGAGCAAUAUACUGCAUGGGGGUACCCAAAUCUGAAGUCAGUAAAUGAACUAAUCUACAAAUGUGGUUAUGGCAAAAUCAAUAAGAAGCGAAUUGCUUUGACAGAUAACGCUUUGCUCGAUCUCUUCAUAAAUAUGGCAUCAUCUGCAAGGAGGAUCUGAUUCAUGAGAUCUACACUGUUGGAAAAUGCUUUAAAGAAGCAAGUAACUUUCUGUGGCCCUUCAAAUUAUCUUCUCUAGGAGGUGGAAUGAAGAAAAAGACCACCCAUUUUGUAGAAGGUGGAGAUGCUUGCAACAGGAAGGAGCAGAUCAAUAGGCUUAUUGGAAGAAUGAACUAAGGUGUCCACCAUGAUUAUUUUUCUAAGCUGAUCAGUUAAUAAACAGUACUCGCUCUCAAGCUGAAAUAUAUUGUUGUCUUUGUGAUUUUUUUGUUGUUGUUGUUAGCCUGCCUCUGUCUUCCCUUCACUAUUGUGGUAAGUCUGGUGUGUGAUAAAAUUAAGCCAAAUCAACAGGCCGUUACAUGCAAAAUUAGGGUCUAGUUUGUGUGGAAGAUAUCUCUUGGGUUUUUAAAAGGCUUUUCUCUACAAAAGAUCUUAAUUUUUUGCCUUUGAACUGUGUUGAAUGAUUCAAACUGGGAUUAUUCUAAGAAAGACUGUUUCACAAACAUUUGUACAUGAUUUGUAGGUAAAGUAAUACAACUUUGGUUUAUGGAAAAAACUGAAUUUAGUUGCUAAAAUUCAUUUUUCAGGCUUUUCCUUGUUUAUAAACUACCAUGUAAAUGUGUUGUUUUCCUUUUGCAUUCCAUUUUUGUGUUCCUGUUUUGCAUCUUUUGCCAUACUUAGGUGAAUUACUAAUAACUGUUACAUAUUGUGGGUAUCAUGAAUGAAGAAAUAAAAUUUGUGCCCAGGGAUGAAAAUUAUUUCAGAGCAUCUGGUGAAAUUAAUGAGCAAAAACUUGAAAGGUUUUGGGUAUUUUAUAAAUAACAUUCCUCUAUAUUUCAUGUAUCAUCUCACCUAGACUAGUGAACAAUGUAGAGUGUAACAUGAAG